CGGACGGGUGAGUAACACGUGGAUAACCUACCUAUAAGACUGGGAUAACUUCGGGAAACCGGAGCUAAUACCGGAUAAUAUAUUGAACCGCAUGGUUCAAUAGUGAAAGACGGUUUUGCUGUCACUUAUAGAUGGAUCCGCGCCGCAUUAGCUAGUUGGUAAGGUAACGGCUUACCAAGGCAACGAUGCGUAGCCGACCUGAGAGGGUGAUCGGCCACACUGGAACUGAGACACGGUCAAG
rnacentral:rRNA from 1 species